rnacentral:lncRNA from 1 species
GUAACCAGACAUGUAGGCUUCUUGCUAAGCCCACUCCCACCAGCUGCACGGUCUAUUGAUAAGCAUACGCUUUUAGCUCUUGAGAAAUUCACAUAAACCACCACUGCUAACAAUUUUAUGUUUGAUGCACAGCUUCUUUUCACAAAGUAGAGAUAGAAGAGUUCGAAGGGAAGGUGGAAGAGACAGGCAGUCAGUGUAAAGAAAGUUUUUUAUGGUUCACUGAGGGCAACCCCUUCACAAUCCAGAACCUGAAGACUGGAUCUUCUGAGAACAUCAGAGAAAGACUGUCAUUGCCAUCCACACUACAGCAAAACUUUGGAGCCUUGAACAUUGGGUUCAUAAUCUCACAACUAAGAAAGGUCUUUUCAUACUCCUGGAACUGUACACCCAUUGGAAUGUUUAAGGUAAAACUAACCAGGAAAGUUUCUCCUCAGAAAAGAUGGCAUCCUUCAUGUGAACAGCCUUUCCCAAGAUCAUGGAUCAAAAUAUGUACUAUCACAAGACUCCUAUUUUUGAGUAUUUUUCCUUGUUUACACCUCUAUGAACAAUAGAAAUGAAAGGGGGAUCUAUUAUGUGAAUUUAUAGGGAAUGCUUUUAUUUGUGAAGGAUUUUAUAGCCAGCCUUAUACAUGAAUAAUAUUAUGCUUUUAAUAGAUAAAACAUGAAGCCGCAGUGUAGGUGAGAAACUUUAUUGGUAUAUACGUUGCCUCAUAAUCAGUCAAAAUUCCUCUUAAGCCACAUCCCGGAUUAAAGAGAACGUUGCCAGGAGGCCUUCAGUCUUCUAGGACAUCAUUUGUUAGGUCCUUUUCCCAUGGUUUAGAAUAAACGAGGUGAUAAUUAGAAAUGUCUCGCUCAUAACAGGUUCUACAGCAAAUUCUACCUUAAAGGCUAUUGCUACACAACAGACUUUAAAAUCUCUUGUGAAAGUUCUGCUAAAGAAUAGAAUUGGCUAAACAAAAAGUACCUGUGCAGCUGCUGAAACUUGCGACCUGUGGAGAAAUCCAUCAAAUGUAGGUUAUAAAGAUUCAGCUGCAGGGGAAUUAAUGAAAAGACCACUUAAUCAAGUGAGUAGACUCUUCAUCUAGCUCAUUCUUUUAUCUAUUUAAUUUUACAUAGUUUGGUUCAUGGGGACCCUGGGUAAGGAGCAUACUCCAAACUCUUGGUAUUAUUCUCCCAAUGGUCAUAAUUAUAGUCUCCCUGGCAUGCUGUAUUCUCUCAAAGGUUUUAAAUGUUUGCAUGCAGCCAUCUUCAGAAUAUCAAAUGGUCUCUCUUCAACUGGAAUGACAGAAGCUGAAAGAAAUGUGCAACCAUGAGGACACCAUAACCUAUGAAUGGCAUGCUGAGGCCAGAAAUGCAAAAUGAUGGUAACCGAGAGUGGGUUUAACGCCCUAAGUUUUGGUUACACUUUCGCCUAAGUGAGAACCUGGCCAAAAUGGGAGAAUUUUUUUAAACAAAAUUAUGAGAGGUCAUUAUUUUGGACUGAGCUUAUGCACUAGGCCCCAACAAACCAAACCAAACUAAAAUGGAGUCACUCAUGCUAAAUGUGACAUAAUCAAACUACGGCUUCAGGAAAACACAUAAAUCCUAGAACAGACCAGAUUUUGUAUUUUCUCCUGAAAACAGGAUGUUCCAGCUUAAGGAGGUACCCUCUCUCUCCUCAGUCCUUAUUCCCUCCUCGCAAAACCCACUGUUCUACUGUUUUUCAGUGGGUUUCAAAACCAUAUAAGUACAUUUACAAUAGUGAUAGCCACAACCAUGACUAAGGUUUUGGUCAAUCUCUCAAAACUGAGAAAAUGACCAAAAGGGAAAAAUCGUUGAAGGAAAUUAAAUAUGGUCUGAGAAGGACUCUGUACUUCUGUAUUUGAGUCCUUCUGGAUGAAGUGCAUCCUAGCUUAGUAGUCAGACAAAAUUGAAAACUUAAUAGUAUGCACCCAUAACAAUAGCUGAGUGUUGGCCAAUCAUAACGGCCAUACUUCAUCCACUCAUAGACUGCUGAGUGUCCAAACUAUUCAAAUAAGGCAAACGCUGAGCUGUAACCAACGUUGCUGUUUCUGUACCUCAGUUCUGAUUCCUGAACGUCACUUUAACUUUUCUGUCUAUAAAUGUGUUCUGACCACGAGGCAUCCCUGGAAUCUCUGUGAAUCUGCUGUAAUUCAGGGGGCUGCACGAUUUGCAAAUCCUUCAUUGCUC